UGUCUAGUCGUCCAUAGGAGUCGAUCUCUCCCUAGAGCCCUCAGUUGUUACAUAAUCGAACUUUGGAGUCCCUUCAGUGGCGUUAUCCUUGAUAUAGUCAUAAUUUCAUUCAUUGUGGCUUAGUUUCUUACAAAGCCAAACACAGAAAGAAGACUACGAGUUGUGGUUACGUUGAGAACCCACAUAGUUACUUUGGCCCCACAGUGGGCAUCAAAUUAUUUACCAUUUUUUCGCUAUAGUUGAAUUUAUUCGUGAGUUAAAAACAUGGGUUAUGGUCUUAGCUUAAGAUUAGUGGUAAACUUUUGCAGAGAAAUAAAUUAUGUAAACAAAAGUUUAAAUAAAUCAAACUAGUAGAGAUUUGAAACAAAUCUUAGCAUAGAGAAGCGUUUGUUCUUAUUAAUCGAGGGUCGAAAGUGAUCAAACUUACGGAAUUACAAUCAAAAAUAAUGAAGAACAUAUAGGGAACAAGGUAAUGCUUAAGGACUACUAAGAUAUUUUAUUGCUUAAGGGAUAAAGAUGAGAAAAAAUCAGAUCCUUCACAAUGAAGAAGGAUCUAUUUAUAGGAUAUAAAGGCUGCCUCUUGGCGAAUGGGAGGGUGUUAUUCCUUGGGAGCAUAUACUGUGUCCAAUGACCCUUCGCCACUUGUAUUUGAACUGUUGGGCGAUUUCAACCCAGUAUUACGUAUCUGACGCGGUGCAAUCGAGAGCCGCCUGUGCACCUGUAUGGCCUAACGUGUUGGUAAAAAUCUCAAUAAAUUGCAGUGAUAUUAUAAUUGAUUAACAACUGAAAAUUACAAAUGAAUAAAGAAAAGUAUUAUUUCUUCGCGGAUAUCCUGCUCUCUUUAAGGAGAUUCAAGCCCACUGCGGUAAUUGUUUCUCUGGUCCAGUAGUAAUUCUCUCUAACUUGUCCCCUCCAGAAUACAACAGCCUACACAAUAUAACUCAAUACUCUGCACUAGAAUUGAGUUCAAAGCUCCAAACAAUUAACACCUCCCUUCAACUAAUAAACUCUCUUAAUAUAUAACGUUAACUCUCAGUAUUUUCUUCUACUUCUCUAUUUCUGCUUCCCUAUUUCUUACCCAGAAUGCCGUGCCAAAGUUCCAAUUUAUAGAAGAGAAAGGAAGGCAUGCAUACACUAAAAUAAUGUACCAAUCAUUGAAUCAUUGCUUAGACAAAACAUUUGCGAAGAAUAAAAGUGUUGUGCUUUUGAAAGCAUUAGCUUUGUCUUCAUACUUUAAUAAUUAAAGUAGAAAAGAGAUAGAAUAUUAAAAAGUGUUCCAUCAGAAAGCAUCAACUUUUUCUCUAUACUUUAAUAAUUAAAUAGAAACGAGAUAGGAUGUUAAAAAAUGUUCCAUCAAUCCCCCACUCAUUUUUUAAUAUUAUCAAGAGAGUCUACUAGUUGACGGAAGAUUAUUAUACAUAAUGGAGGUGUGCUCUGCAUUGAACCUCCACUUAGUAAAACAGUAAUUUUUACUCCAGAGUCGUAGUGGUCUCAGACUUGAACUAUGACUGCUUUGGGGAAAUAAAAAGUUACUGCUUAUACAUAAUAGUCAAGGUAUUGAAAUGAGCUUUUUAAGCCAGCAUGCUACGGCCUUGUGCUAUCCCGAUUUUAAUGAGUGUCUUUAGAGAAUGAGCCUAAUUCUCAAUAGGAAGCGACCUACCUUCACACUCACAUAGGUGAAAUAUGUCUAGAGUGCUCCUGUAAUUUAGCACCUCACUCAUAAGAGCUAUAGAUAUUCAUUAAGAGUUUAAUAAACUCAACCUCACAAACAUUACAGGAAAAUGCACUCAUAUCAUAGGGAGGGAUAAAUAAAUAGUGCAUUUUUCACACCAAUUCAUCAGGUGAUUCGUUUUUCCCAUUGAACCUGCUUAUAGGAUCUCUAGUCCCCAGGUUGGGUUUCCUCACAUAUGACUUGAGAUUUAAUAGGCUUCAAUCCCAUCCCCCUCGAUGUACUCCAGACCUUUUCUCUUGCUAAGUCCUUAGUCAACGGAUCUGCAAGAUUAUCACAAGAUUUUACAUAAUCAACAUUAAUGAUACCAUUUAUCAAAUAUAAUCUCACAUUACUGUGUUUUCUCCGUAUAGGUUUGGAUUUACCAUUGUAAUAACGGUUUUGAGCUCUACCAAUUGCAGCGGUACUAUCACAAUAAAUUAAUAUAGGAGGAAUUGAUUUUUCAAAUAAGGUAUUUGAAAUAACAAAUCUCUCAACCAAUUCGCUUCCUCACUAGCUGAAGCUAAAGAAACUAGUUCAACCUCCAUGCUAGAGUUAGCAAUAAUUGUUUACUUUUUAGACUUCCAACAAAUACCACCACCACCCAAAGUAAAUACAUAGCCAAUAGUGGUCAAGGAAUCACCUGAUAAAGUAUUUCAAUCCGCAUCACAAUAGCCUUCAAGUACAGCAGGAUAUUUUGUAUAGAACAAACCACAAUUUUUUAUUCCAAUUAAAUAUCUCAUUACUCUAUUUAUAGCAUGCCAAUGUUUAUUACCUGGCUUGCUAGUAAAUCUGCUAAGUACUCCUACUGCAUAUGUAAUAUCAGGCCUAGUGCAAUCAGUCACAUAUCUAGACUUCCAAUUAUGCUCGCAUAUUUUUUUUGAUUUAUUACUUCUGUUUCACUCUCAACAGGAAACAGGUGAACACUAGAAUCAAAUGGAGUUACAACAUGCUUGCAAUCAAAGAAAUUAUAUUUUUUCAAUAUUUUCUCAACAUACUGUGACAGAAAAAUUCCAUCACAUGUUCUAGCAAUUUUUAUUCCUAAAAUAAAAUUUGUCUCACCAAGAUCUUUCAUUUCAAAAUGGCCUCUAAGAAUAUUUUUAGUCUCAUAAAUAAUAUUCAUGUUAGAGCCAAAGAUCAAUAAAUCAUCAACAUAUAGGCAAAUAAUAACAUGUGAAAUAUUCCAAGACUUAUGAUAUAUGCACUUAUCACACUCAUUUGUUUUAAACUCAUUUUCAAUCAUGCAGGAAUCAAACUUUUCAUGCCAUUGUUUCGGUGCCUGUUUUAAGCCAUAUAGGAAUUUAUUAAGUUUACAUACUUUGCUUUCUUGACCAGCCUCAACAAAACCUUUGGGUUGUUCCAUGUAAAUCUCUUCAUUUAGGUCUCCGUUUAAAAAAGUAGUUUUUACAUCCAUUUGAUGAAUUUGUAAAUCAAAAAUUGCCGUAAUAGCAAUUAAAAGUCUAAUGGAUGUAAUUCUCGUUACCGGUGAAAAAGUAUCAAAAAAUUCUAGACCUUCUAGUUGUUUAAAACCUUUUGCCUCAAGCCUAGCUUUAUAUUUUUCAACAGAUCCAUCCGAUUUUAAUUUUUCACGUAAGACCCAUUUACAUCCAAUUGUUUUACAACCCAGUGGUAAAUCAACUAACUUCCAAGUUUUAUUAGAAAUUAGCGAUUUUAUUUCAUCAUUUACAACCUCUUUCCAGAAAAUAGCAUCAUGUGUAGAUAAAACUUCUUUUAAAGUGAUUGGGUCUUCUCCAACGUUAAAAACGUAAUAAUUAGGACCAAAGCCUUUUUCUACUCUAGCUCUUUUACUUUUUCUUAACUCAAAAUCAUCAUUUUCAUUAUUAUUUAAAGUAGAAGUAGAAGAACUAGGUAGAAUCAAAAUAUUUUCUUCAGUCCCAUGGCCCCCACUAUUUUUAGAAUCAAAAGGAAAUUUAUUUUCAUGAAAAAUAUCAUCACCUGAUUCUAUUAUCACACUAUCUUCAAGAUUAAAAAAUCUGUAGGUUGUACUAUUUGAAGCAUAACUAAGAAAAGUACAAGUAGUAACUUUUUUACUCAACUUAGAGAUUUUAGGAUCCAUUAACCUCACAUAGGCUCGACAACCCCAAACUCUUAGAUAUCCCAAAUUUGGCUUAUGACCUUUCCACAAUUCAAGAGGUGUUAAUUUCUUCUUUUUAUGAGGCACACGAUUUAACACAUAACAAGCAGUUAAAAGAGUUUCACCCCAAAAACUUAAAGGUGCAAAUGACUCAAUUAACAUGGCAUUAGUCAACUCAGUUAAAGUUCUAUUCUUGCUUUUCACUACACCGUUAUAUGCAGGAGAAUAAGGAGGAGGAGUUUCAUGAAUUAUACCCAAUGAUCUUACAAAGAAUUAAACUCAAGUGACUCAUAUUCACGGCCUCUAUCACUUCUUAUUCUUUUUAUUUUUCUAUUAAACUGAUUUUCAACUUCAUGGAGAAAAUUUUUAAAAAUUCUCAAAUGCAUCACUUUUAUUUUUCAUUAAGUAAACAUAUGUAAACUUAGAAAAAUCAUCAAUGAAAGUGAUGAAAUAUCUAUUUUUUUCACGAGUUAAAAUUUCACCAAGCUCACAAAUAUCACUAUGAACUAAUUCUAAUAAAUCAGUUUUUCUUUCAACAUGGAAGUGAGGCCUUUUUGUGAUUUUAGCUUUACUACAAGCUUCACAUUUUUCAAAAUUCUUUUUGAUCAUUAGAAUUAAUCCUAAACUACUCAUCAUUCCUACAUAACAUUCAUUUAUAUGACACAAACGAGCAUGCCAAAAAUUAGUAGAAGAAAGCAUGUAAACAGAAAUGGAUGCUUUAUUUAUUUCAACAUUUAAUUUGAACAUACCAUCACAUGUAUACCCUUUCCCUAGAAAAAUAUUAUUCUUCGAAAUUCAAUAUUGAUCAGAUUCAAUAAUUUGUCUGAAGCCUGCUUUAUUAAGAAGAAAACUCUAAAUUAAAUUUUUUCUCAUGAAAGGAGUAUAAAGUACAUCUUUUAAGAUUAAUACCCUUCCAGAAGUAAAUCUCAAUUCGACAUCCCCUGUUCCAAGUACUUGACUUGUGUGUGAAUUUUCAAGCAUGACGGUUUUGGGCUCCUCAAAAUUUUUAUAAUUUUUAAACUAGUCUUUGUCAUAACAAACAUGACAGCUUGCACCAGAGUCAGCCCGUCAUCUAUCAACAUUCUCCACCAUAAAUAUGUCUGUAAUCAUCACAACAAAUGGUUCUUCGAUAACAUUUGCUUGAGGUGUAGGCCCAUAUUUUCGAUAUUUGCAAAAUCGAGCAAUAUGCCCACUUUUGCCACAAACAAAGCAUGGUCCUUUUUGUUGUUCAUGUUGAUUUUUUGCUUGAUUAUUUCUACCAUUAUUAUAUUGGGGAUGUCUACCAUUAUUAUUUUUAAAAUUUUUCUUCUUAGGCUUCAAAACAUUAUUUUUGUUAGGUUCAGGGGUAGCAUUACUUGAAGUUAAAUUUACCUUUGGUGUGAUGUUGUUCACUUCUGUUUGCAUUAGUGCAUCUUGGCCCGUUGCUUCUUCUUACAUGCGGAUUCUCAUUAUUAAAGUUUCAAGAGAUGUUUCCUUUUGCUUGUGGCGCACCGUUUUUUGAAAUUCUUUUCACGAAAGUGGAAAUUUAUCAAUUAUGCCACAAACAAUAAGGUUAUCUCCAAUUUUUAUUUCCUCAGACUUGAGCUCGCCAACAAUCAUUAUAGAAUCUUGUGCUUGGUCUGCCACUGAUUUAUUGUCCACCAUUUGGAAACGAAAAAAUCUGCUGGCUGUAUAUUUUUUCGCUCCCGCCUCCUCAGUGUCAUACUUACUCUGUAAGGCUUUUCAAAUUUUCUUUGCACUAGAGUAAGUUCUAUCAUAAUAAUCAUAAAAAUUAUCUAAUAGACAAUUAAGUAAAAAGUAACGACACUUAUAAGAGUCAUUAUUAUAUCUUUCUACUUUCUCUUGAUGAGAAAGAUAUUCUUCAUAAGUCAUGGUAGAGUCAUCUACUUUAUUAGGGUUCUUCUCCAUUAACACGUAAGAGACAUGGAGAAGACUUAAGUAGAAAAGAACUUUACCCUUCCAUCUUUUAAAGUGGGUACCGUUGAACCGAAAUGGCUUGUUCAAAUCUCCCAGCUUGAUAUCCGCGGAAUUUUCAGUUGUUGCCAUCCUUUGAAUCUCCUUAAAAUUGUUUGUGAAAAUCUCAAUAAAUUGCAGUGAUAUUAAAAUUGAUUUACAACUAAAAAUUACAAAUGAAUAAAGAAAAAUAUUAUUUCUUCUUAUACGGCUGAGGUGCGGAUAUUCCGCUCUCUUUAAGGAGAUUCAAGUCCACUGCGGUAAUUGUUUCUCCGAUCCAGCAGUAAUACUCUCUAACUUGUCCCCUCUAGGAUACAACAGCCUACACAAUAUAACUCAGUACUCUGCACUAAAAUUGAGUUCAAAGCUCCAUACAAUUAACAACUCCCUUUAACUAAUAAACUCUCUUAAUAUAUAAUGUUAACUCUCAGUAUUUUCUUCUACUUCUCUAUUUCUGCUUCCCUAUUUCUUACCCAGAAUGCCGUGCCAAAGUUCCAAUUUAUAGAAGCGAAAGGAAGGCAUGCAUACAUUAAAAUAAUGUACCUACCAUUGAAUCAUUGCUUAGACAAAUCAUUUGCGAAGAAUAAAAGUGUUAUGCUUUUAAAAACAUUAACUUUGUCUUCAUACUUUAAUAGUU
rnacentral:lncRNA from 1 species